GGUCUAAUAGCUCAGUUGGUUAGACCAUGGUGCUGAUAACGCCAAGGUUGCAGGUUCGAUCCCUGUAUGGACCA